rnacentral:misc_RNA from 1 species
AGUCGUAACAAGGUUUCCGUAGGUGAACCUGCGGAAGGAUCAUUACUGAGUGAGGGUCCCUCGGGGCCCAACCUCCCACCCGUGUAUACCGUACCUUGUUGCUUCGGCGGGCCCGCCGCGCAAGCGGCCGCCGGGGGGGCGUCAAACCCCCCUCCCUAGGCGAGCGCCCGCCGGAGACACCAACGUGAACACUGUCUGAAGUUUUGUUGUCUGAGUUCGAUUGUAUCGCAAUCAGUUAAAACUUUCAACAAUGGAUCUCUUGGUUCCGGCAUCGAUGAAGAACGCAGCGAAAUGCGAUAAUUAAUGUGAAUUGCAGAAUUCAGUGAAUCAUCGAGUCUUUGAACGCACAUUGCACCCCCUGGUAUUCCGGGGGGUAUGCCUGUCCGAGCGUCAUUGCUGCCCUCAAGCACGGCUUGUGUGUUGGGUCGUCGUCCCCCCCGGGGACGGGCCCGAAAGGCAGCGGCGGCACCGCGUCCGGUCCUCGAGCGUAUGGGGCUUUGUCACCCGCUCUUGUAGGCCCGGCCGGCGCUGGCCGACGCUGAAAAGCAACCAACUAUUUCUCCAGGUUGACCUCGGAUCAGGUAGGGAUACCCGCUGAACUUAAGCAUAUCAAUAA